GACGAACGCUGGCGGCGUGCCUAAUACAUGCAAGUUGAGCGCUGAAGGUUGGUACUUGUACCAACUGGAUGAGCAGCGAACGGGUGAGUAACGCGUGGGGAAUCUGCCUUUGAGCGGGGGACAACAUUUGGAAACGAAUGCUAAUACCGCAUAAAAACUUUAAACACAAGUUUUAAGUUUGAAAGAUGCAAUUGCAUCACUCAAAGAUGAUCCCGCGUUGUAUUAGCUAGUUGGUGAGGUAAAGGCUCACCAAGGCGAUGAUACAUAGCCGACCUGAGAGGGGGAUCGGCCACAUUGGGACUGAGACACGGCCCAAACUCCUACGGGAGGCAGCAGUAGGGAAUCUUCGGCAAUGGACGAAAGUCUGACCGAGCAACGCCGCGUGAGUGAAGAAGGUUUUCGGAUCGUAAAACUCUGUUGGUAGAGAAGAACGUUGGUGAGAGUGGAAAGCUCAUCAAGUGACGGUAACUACCCAGAAAGGGACGGCUAACUACGUGCCAGCAGCCGCCGUAACAC
rnacentral:rRNA from 1 species